rnacentral:rRNA from 1 species
GCCGGGGGAUGCAAGAGUUAUCAGGAAUCACUGGGCGUAAAGCGUCUGUAGGUGGUGAUGCAAGUCACUGGUGCAAAACUCUGGCUCAACCGGAGGAAAGCCAGUGAAACUGCAUGACUAGAGUGUGGGAGAGGUAGAAGGAAUUCCCUGAGUAGCGGUGAAAUGCGUAGAUACAGGGAAGAACACCGGAGGCGAAAGCGUUCUACUGGAACACAACUGACACUGAGAGACGAAAGCUAGGGGAGCGAAUGGG